rnacentral:lncRNA from 1 species
AUUUAUACUUCAGGAUGGACAAGAAGUUCUGUCAGCUGAUGAGAAAUGAUGCCAGAUGGUAACUCAGAUAUACAAGAAAUACUGAAAUGCGCUGGAAAUGGCCUGGUUGCAUUAUGCUUGAAAUCUGGGAUGUGGAAGACCCUUCCAAUGCAGCUAACCCUCCCUUAUGUAGUGUCCUGCUCGAAGAUGCCAGUAUUUCAGAAUAGUGUGUACAGAGUAUUGAAGGUUAACUGAGAAGGAAACUACCCAUUACACUAUGGCACAAUGCCGUGUGUCAAAAACAAUCACCC